rnacentral:rRNA from 1 species
GCUAAUACCGGAUGAUUCAUAUCUAGAUAACUAGAUAUGCUAAAAGGAGCUUCGGCUUCACUUGAGAUGAGCUUGCGGUGUAUUAGCUAGUUGGUGAGGUAAUGGCUCACCAAGGCAACGAUGCAUAUCCGAGCUGAGAGGCUGAUCGGACACACUGGGACUGAGACACGGCCCAGACUCCUACGGGAGACAGCAGUUAGGAAUAUUCGUCAAUGGAGGAAACUCUGAACGAGCAAUGCCGCGUGAGUGAUGAAGGUCCUUUGGAUUGUAAACUGCUUUAGACAGGGAAGAAAAAGACAGUACCUGUAGAAUAAGCUCCGGCUAACUACGUGCC